rnacentral:rRNA from 1 species
GUGGGUAGUUUGACUGGGGCGGUCUCCUCCUAAAGAGUAACGGAGGAGCACGAAGGUUGGCUAAUCCUGGUCGGACAUCAGGAGGUUAGUGCAAUGGCAUAAGCCAGCUUGACUGCGAGCGUGACGGCGCGAGCAGGUGCGAAAGCAGGUCAUAGUGAUCCGGUGGUUCUGAAUGGAAGGGCCAUCGCUCAACGGAUAAAAGGUACUCCGGGGAUAACAGGCUGAUACCGCCCAAGAGUUCAUAUCGACGGCGGUGUUUGGCACCUCGAUGUCGGCUCAUCACAUCCUGGGGCUGAAGUAGGUCCCAAGGGUAUGGCUGUUCGCCAUUUAAAGUGGUACGCGAGCUGGGUUUAGAACGUCGUGAGACAGUUCGGUCCCUAUCUG